rnacentral:rRNA from 1 species
AUGCAGUCGAGCGGUAGAGAGAAGCUUGCUUCUCUUGAGAGCGGCGGACGGGUGAGUAAUGCCUAGGAAUCUGCCUGGUAGUGGGGGAUAACGUUCGGAAACGGACGCUAAUACCGCAUACGUCCUACGGGAGAAAGCAGGGGACCUUCGGGCCUUGCGCUAUCAGAUGAGCCUAGGUCGGAUUAGCUAGUUGGUGGGGUAAUGGCUCACCAAGGCGACGAUCCGUAACUGGUCUGAGAGGAUGAUCAGUCACACUGGAACUGAGACACGGUCCAGACUCCUACGGGAGGCAGCAGUGGGGAAUAUUGGACAAUGGGCGAAAGCCUGAUCCAGCCAUGCCGCGUGUGUGAAGAAGGUCUUCGGAUUGUAAAGCACUUUAAGUUGGGAGGAAGGGUUGUAGAUUAAUACUCUGCAAUUUUGACGUUACCGACAGAAUAAGCACCGGCUAACUCUGUGCCAGCAGCCGCGGUAAUACAGAGGGUGCAAGCGUUAAUCGGAAUUACUGGGCGUAAAGCGCGCGUAGGUGGUUUGUUAAGUUGGAUGUGAAAUCCCCGGGCUCAACCUGGGAACUGCAUUCAAAACUGACUGACUAGAGUAUGGUAGAGGGUGGUGGAAUUUCCUGUGUAGCGGUGAAAUGCGUAGAUAUAGGAAGGAACACCAGUGGCGAAGGCGACCACCUGGACUAAUACUGACACUGAGGUGCGAAAGCGUGGGGAGCAAACAGGAUUAGAUACCCUGGUAGUCCACGCCGUAAACGAUGUCAACUAGCCGUUGGAAGCCUUG